rnacentral:rRNA from 1 species
AUUGAACGCUGGCGGCAGGCCUAACACAUGCAAGUCGCGCGGAUGAAGUUAGCUUGCUCCUUGAUUCAGCGGCGGACGGGUGAUUAAUGCCUAUGAAUCUGCCUGGUAGUGGGGGAUAACGUUCGGAAUCGGGCGCUAAUACCGCAUACGUCCUGAGGGAGAAAGUGGGGGAUCCUCGGACCUCACGCUAUCAGCUGAGCCUAGGUCGGAUUAGCUAGUUGGUGGGGUAAAGGCCUACCAAGGCGACGAUCCGUAACUGGUCUGAGAGGAUGAUCAGUCACACUGGAUCUGAGACACGGUCCAGACUCCUACGGGAGGAAGCAGUGGGGAAUAUUGGACGAUGGGCGAAAGCCUGAUACAGCCAUGCCGCGUGAGUGAAGAAGGUCUUCGGAUUGGAAAGCACAUUAAGUUGGGAGGAAGGGAAGUAAGUUAAUAGCUGGCUGUUUUGACGGUACCAGCAGAAUAAGCACCGGCUAACUUCGUG